CUACGGGGCGCUCCAGUGGGGAAUAUUGCGCAAUGGGCGAAAGCCUGACGCAGCAACGCCGUGUGAGGGAUGAAGGCUUUCGGGUCGUAAACCUCUGUCAGAAGGGAAGAACGGGUAUUGGUCUAAUAGGCCUUUAUUUUGACGGUACCUUCAGAGGAAGCACCGGCUAACUCCGUGCCAGCAGCCGCGGUAAUACGGAGGGUGCAAGCGUUAUUCGGAAUUACUGGGCGUAAAGCGCACGUAGGCCGCUUUGUAAGUCAGGGGUGAAAUCCCACGGCUCAACCGUGGAACUGCCUUUGAAACUGCAGAGCUUGAAUCCUGGAGAGGGUGGCGGAAUUCCUGGUGUAGGAGUGAAAUCCGUAGAUAUCAGGAGGAACACCGGUGGCGAAGGCGGCCACCUGGACAGGUAUUGACGCUGAGGUGCGAAAGUGUGGGGAGCAAACAGGAUUAGAUACCCCAGUAGUC
rnacentral:rRNA from 1 species